AGCGAACGCUGGCGGCAGGCCUAACACAUGCAAGUCGAGCGCCGUAGCAAUACGGAGCGGCAGACGGGAGAGUAACACGUGGGAACGUACCCUUCAGUACGGAACAACCAAGGGAAACUUUGGCUAAUACCGUAUACGUCCGUAAGGAGAAAGAUUUAUCGCUGAAGGAUCGGCCCGCGUCUGAUUAGCUAGUUGGUGAGGUAACGGCUCACCAAGGCGACGAUCAGUAGCUGGUCUGAGAGGAUGAUCAGCCUCACUGGGACUGAGACACGGCCCAGACUCCUACGGGAGGCAGCAGUGGGGAAUCUUAGACAAUGGGGGCAACCCUGAUCUAGCCAUGCCGCGUGAGUGAUGAAGGCCUUAGGGUUGUAAAGCUCUUUCAGCUGGGAAGAUAAUGACGGUACCAGCAGAAGAAGCCCCGGCUAACUCCGUGCCAGCAGCCGCAGUAACAC
rnacentral:rRNA from 1 species